rnacentral:rRNA from 1 species
AUUGAACGCUGGCGGCAGGCCUAACACAUGCAAGUCGAACGAGUGGCGGACGGGUGAGUAAUGUCUGGGAAACUGCCCGAUGGAGGGGGAUAACUACUGGAAACGGUAGCUAAUACCGCAUACCUCGGGAUGUGCCCAGUUUGGAUUAGCUAGUCGGUGGGGGAACGCCCCACCGAGGCAACGAUCCCUAGCUGGUCUGAGAGGAUAACAGGCCACCCUGGAACUGAGACACGGGCCAGACUCCUACGGGAGGCAGCAGGGGGGGAUAUUGCACAAUGGGCGCAAGCCUGAUGCAGCCAUGCCGCUUGUAUGAAGAAGGCCUGCGGGUUGGAAAGUACUUUCAGCGAGGAGGCGUUACUCGCAGAAGAAGCACCGGCGAACUCCGUGCCAGCAGCCGCGGUAUUC